rnacentral:rRNA from 1 species
UACCCGCAGCACAAGUGGUGGUCAUUAUUAUUGGGCCUAAAGCGUCCGUAGCUGGCUUGUUAGAUGCCUGGGUAAAUCGAUGCGCUCAACGUAUCGAAUUCCGGGUAGACCGGCAAGCUCGAGACCGGGAGAGGUGUAGGCUACUCGAGGGGUAGGGGUAAAAUCCUGUAAUCCUUCGGGGAGGACCAGUGGCGAAGGCGCUACACUAGAACGGCUCUGACUGUGAGGGACGAAGCCCUGGGGCGCAAACCGG